GAUCUAGCGAAGGAGUAAAAUGCAAAAAAGUUAGCCUCUCGUCCUCUCCUGAAGGGUCGAUCGACCUCAUGCCUCUUCCCCUUCCAAUCGAUCUCAUCUCGACGCCUCCCGCUCCCGGUAACGGCGCCGGUGAGCCAACGACAGGGAUCCCAGCCUACGGCAUGACGCGGAGCACGCACUGGAGGACGACGUGGAGCGCGACCGCGCCGAGGCCGCAGACGAGGAGGGCGAGCAAGACGAUGGCAUUGGUGUUGAACGACACGGCGACUGGACCGCCGCCGCCAUGGCCAUUCUCAGCGGCCAGCAGAGCACGCUUAUCGGUCGUCGCCAUGGCCAGCAGUGGGAUAUGCAAGAUACCAAAGAUAUAAAUUGUUGCCGCCUACAAGGUGCUCGAAAUCAUGACCUCCGGAUUUAAAAUAUGUGAAAGACUAUGGUUCUAAAAUUUUUUUGUGUAACUACAUUGUUGUGUUUCUUCUUUGUGCCGUAGCUAGAAGCUAGACCGGAAACGACUGUAUUCUUUAAAAAAAACUGUAUACAACUGUGGUAGUGUCAGGCUUUUUUAUCUUAGUGAAUUCAUGUAAAUAUAUAUUUAUCUAUGGUUCUAUCCAGUUUUUGAUGAUUGUUCUUAAA